rnacentral:rRNA from 1 species
GUCCACGCCGUAAACGAUGCACACUGGGUGCCGGCGGCUCUGACGUCGCCGACGCCGAAGCAAAAGUGCUAAGUGUGCCGCCUGGGGAGUACGGCCGCAAGGCUAAAACUCAAAGGAAUUGACGGGGGCUCACACAAGCGGUGGAGCAUGUGGCUUAAUUCGAAGCAACGCGAAGAACCUUACCCGGGUUUGACAUGCUUGGAUGCCUCAUGGGGAUAACUCGUGAGGCUGCCCUUCGGGGUGAAACUUGCACAGGUGUUGCAUGGCUGUCGU